GAGAAGAGCGAGGGAGGACUGUGGAGCGCGCCGGCCGCGGACGGGGCCCGCUGCCCGGGGCUCCGCGGCCGCCAACUCCCACCUCCUUUGCUCGGUCCUCCUGCUCCUCCUCCUACACCUCUAACGCCCCAGGGCGGCCGGCCCGCCCUCUGACAGAGGGCAGGCAUCCCUUUCCAACUCGAGAUCCCAGAGCAGAGCCACCUGGCAUGUUCCACCUGAAACCCCUGAAGGAGUGGGAGACGGACAAACCAACACGAAGAGACCGGACAGCGAGCCUGUGGGAAGACGUGUCAGGGGUUGAGAGCGCUGAGGGUGAAGGGUUAAAAAGUUGUGGCAAAUACUUCUCUAAGUGUGGGAGAGUAAGGCAGGAGCAGCGCUGCCAGUUAGCUACUUGGCCAUCCUGUACAUACUGAACAAGCACUCGCUGUAAUACAGAGAACCAGCCUCCUGUGUGCCAGUGAAGUGAUUUGGCUGCAUCUCCAAUUAUGGUAUUUUCCGUUUGUCAAUGUUGAAGCUAUCCCUUUUGUUGAUUAAUUCUGGAGAAAGUUGAAGUCUCUGUACUCCUGUGAUUGACGUGGUGCCUGACUCUGCCAGAUUUUGCCUUGCAUAUACUGCAAGACAGAGUUUUGCCAGGUUGCUCAGGCUGGUCUCGAACUUCUGGGCUCAAGCAAUCCUCCUGCUUCAGCCUCCCAAAGUGCUGAGAUUACCCCAAGUAUGAGCCACUGUGCCUGGCCUGUUGGGGGUAUUUUGGAGAAGACAAGUGGAAGAGAAAGUAAGGUCAACCUUCACAACUGGCUUGUGGCCCAAUAAAGGCUGCUCCUGAGCCAAAGUGAGCCAUGCUCACUUUUGGAUAUGUGGCUAGUAGAAAUAUAGGGGAAAACUUGGCAAGACUUGGAUACUGACUAAAUUCUCAAUAGUAAUAAAGAGAUUUGCAGAGGAAGUGAGAGUCUUCAUCCUUUCGUGACUCCUCAAAGGGUAAAGGAUACUUAAUACAUGCUGUUGACUGACCCUUUAUAGUGGUGGGAGGAAUGAUUAAAGUACAAUUUAUGUGUUUCAGCUCUCACAGAGAAAACAAAUAGAGCAGAUUAAACUAUCAGCCACUUAUCUUUUCAUGGUAACAUAAAAUGAAAUAAAACAAGAAUUCCUUCUAGAAACCAUUUAUACUGUGUUCCCAGUGAUAAUAGUUACAAGAGCAAGUAAAAAUGGUUCAUGUUGAUAAAAAAUAUGUAACUGUAUCACAACCAAAGUUCUGAAAAAUUCAAGACAUUUUGUGGAAAAAGACCCAAAAGAGACAUUUACUAUAGUAUCUGAAGUAAAAGCAAAGCAUUAAAACAGUCAAAACAUCUUCCAAGUGAAUCAAAUGGGAGUCAGCUAAUUUCAUGUUACUUCAUGUCAAUAAGGAAAAAUAUAUUAGAAACCCCGUAUACUAAGUAAUCAUUGAUAUUGGCAACAUGAAUAAAAUAGCUCUAAACUGUUUCCAACUUUGCCUCUAAAAUUCCUUUGGCCUGAGGGCAUAACAUAUUAUUUCCUUUCUUCUACUCUGUGGGAAGUAACACACCCAUUUCAAUCUUUGUCACUUUUUUCCGUAUAUCAACAUUCAUGGGAAGAAUUAUUUGGAGCUGCUCUGAUGAUCCUCCCUAGAUUGAUACCACAAUCAGAUUCAGAAACUGUAUGGCAGUAGCAAACUUAAAAAUCAGAAUUACUUGGAGAGUUUGUUAAUAUCCUGGGGUCUUUCCCAGAUACAGCAAUUCAGCAAGUCUGGUGAAGGGUUCAGGAAUCUGCAUACCUAACAAAUACCCAACAUAAUUCUAAGACAGGUUGGACACAGAUCAUUCUUUGAAACACUCUGGUUUAGAGUAACUGGAGUAAUUUUCAAGUCUGCUUUCCAAUGGGGUAUAAGUUUUAAUCUCUCUUUUCUAUAAUGCCCAUUAACAGGGGUAAGAAAGAUUAAUAGGUAAAUACAGGAAUGUAUAUAUGACACAGCUUUCAUCACCUUUCCAAAAUACACGGCUUAUUCAUAAUCCAACUAAUCAAAAAAAUCAAAUAACUAGAAUUUUUAGUUUUAUCCUAUAAUAAGUGAGGGUCAUUAUGAAAUGCGGCACUAUAAGUUUGUGAAUUGUUUCCUAAUUCAUCAAAGAUUAAAUUAAGCUGCUUAUAGUUUUAGUGCUAUGAUUUUCUGAAAUUAUCUUUUAAUUCAGUUAUAACUCUUAGGUAACUGUGAUAUUAAAUUUACCAGGACACAUUUUUAAUAAUUAUUCCAGGUAAAUAGGAAUUCACUGUACCAAUCUAAUACUAGAAUAUCGUAUACUUUAUUAUACCAAAAUAUAAAGUACAAAUUUUUUCUGACAUAAUGAAAAUGAUAUGCCUUCUCUACACAUUUUAAUUACACAGAGAAUAUUUCUUCAACCACUAUCUAUAUAGGAUAAGCUUCUGUUUUAUAACUAAGUUGUGUUUUAAGUACAUUGAGCUGUCCUUGGGGAAAAUCAAGAAAAGCAAUUUUGAUUUUUCCAUGUUAUUAAAGCAUAAUAGAACAUGAAAAUGAUAAUUUUUGUAUAAUUAGAGGUUUAUUUAGAUAUAAUACAAUGUAAUUUUUGAAAAUGUGCUUUUAUUUCAAUGUGAUGUAUUAAAAUGUGGCUAAUAUUAAACGUAGAACAAUGUAGAAUUCAUAAUGACAAAUAAAUAACAGAGUAAGUGGCCAAUUGGCAAGGUUCAUGGCUAGUUCCUUGAGGUUGCAAAUGGGAUUCAACAAUCCACAUGGCUGCUAAUACAAAUAAUCGCUCUUGCUGUCUGCUUCUCUCAUUUAUAUUGCUCCCUAUUAUUUUCUAGGGACGUCUGUCAUACAACCGAGCCGUAUUGUUACAAGAUGUAAUCACAUGAAUUAAUUUUUAAGACUCCUAUGAUUAAAUAAAGAUUACACUGGCUUAUAUGUUUAGAGGGACAUUAAGGAACAUUUUAAUAACACAGGACUAAUUGUAGACAUUUUCAAGAUUUAAUGUCUUCUGUUGGAAUGCACAAACUGGUCCAUUGCAGUCAGAUUGACAACUCUGUAACAAAUGACACUAUCCUAGUUUCUGUGGUAAUAAUUUUUCAACACUGUCAUACAUGGUAUCUGAUCUCAAUGUUAUUCACACUGAGAAAAAAAUUACAUUUUGAUUUUUGUCUUUUUGAAGCAGAAGCACUAAGCAUAAAAGAAAGACAUUAUGAACACAGUAGUUGAGGAAAACAAUGAGAUGAAUCAUUUAGCAAAGAUGAAAGACAAGGUAUAUCAUUUCAAAGCAAACAAAAAGGAUACAGUAGUUUCAAAAGAACAAAAACAGUUAAGAGUGAAAAGCAACAAGUUUCAGAAAUAAAGGAACAUAUCAAAACUUCUGGGCAUUCAAAACUGUACUCAAAAGGGAUAUACCAGAGACUUCAUUAAUAUGAUGUUUGCUGUGGGUUUUUGGUAAAUAUCUUUUAUCAGAUUUAGGAAGUUCCCUUCUACUACCAAUUUGCUAAGAAUUAUUUUUUGCAAAAGAAUGUAUGAACAUUUAAUUUCAUCAGAUGCUUUUGCUAUAUCUAUUUGAGACUAUCAUAUUAUUUAUUUUGUUAAUGUGACAAA